rnacentral:tRNA from 1 species
GCGAAUGUGGCGAAAUUGGUAGACGCCCCAGAUUUAGGUUCUGGUAUCGAAAGGUGUGUGGGUUCGACUCCCUCCAUUCGCA